AUCAGGGGCGCCACCUGGUGGCCGGAGUCUCAGCCAUGGAAGCCUCGGACCAGACCUCUGUCCAGGUGUGCCAGUGUCCCGGGUGGGCUCAAAAGACACUCAGGUACGCUUCCCAGUUAGCACAGGUGACACAGGAAGCCGAGGGACCCUAAAGAAAUCCACACGGGGCUGGAGUUUCACGCCCAGUACCAGCCUCUCUUCCCACACACUUCGGUUUCCUUCCAGACUUUUCUCCACACACCCAGGUACUUGCUAAUGUAAAAAGUGAGUUGCAGCCCACAGAAUCAGGAAGCUGAUGGGCUCCCACGCACUUCAAGAUGGGGGGGUUCUCCCUCUCUGUCAGCUGAGAUUUCUUCUGGUGGGCAGAGAGUGGCGGCGAGAUAACACCAGACGGGGGUGUGACCAGGAGCCAGGUGAGCUUCUAGACGUCUCCUCCCCCCCUUGUUCUCCCUCCACUGAGGAAGAUGAGGAAGACGGAAUGACCACAGACCUCACCAAGGGGAUAGGGAGUGGGACUGGGGGCAGAUGUCACCCUACAGAGUUCCUUCUGUCCACAAAGGUGGCAUCUCACGACAACCACCGGCCUUUGCCUGUCCCAGGGCUCCUUGACCUGUGGUCUGCCUGUUUGCCUGCUGGAGGUGGGAAUGUGGUAGCCAAGACAGAGCAGAUCCACCUGGAGGCACCUCAGCCCCAGGGACUGUCAGCGGGUAUCUGCUGUGCUUCCCCUGGGAUGUGCUUCUCAGUGGGGGCUCCCUGGCCACUUGUCCUGUUCUCUGAUUCAGAGGGCUUCGGAGCACAGAGGCCACUUCCACAUCGUUGGCCGGGGGAAUGAAGCAACUUCACAGCGACCUGUCUGCUCUUGUCACUUGUGGAAGAGGCGAGGCGAGGACCUGGUGGGAGGUCAUUGUCACACCAGGCGUACCUACCCAUUGCUUCCGUGAGACUAACUUUGAGGGGACCACGACAUCCCGACAGCCUACGGCCCCUUCCAAGGACACCCUGGGAUUCAUUUAAGCUUCCGUUUUCCAGAUGGGGAAACUGAGGCUUGGGGAGGGGAACAACAAAUAGAGCUGCACAUAUGCUGAGUGUCCAAGGACCCCGUCAGUCACUUUCCGCUCGGGAAAGUUAGGGGUGGGGGUGGGGGCUCUCCCUGGCUGUGUGACUCGUGGUUCCUGGGCUAGUGUGUAACAUGUCACUGGUGCAGCUGUCUGUGUGGAGACGUUUCCCCACCCCAGGUGCUGCUGUGUUGUGAGUUGGGCUGGAGUACAAGACGGGCCAUUCAGGGUGUCACAGCCCAGAAUGCAAACUGACUGGAGGACAGCCAGCACUAACCAGGGCCUACUGAGUUCUGUUCCAUAAGUCCUGUGUGACUGUCACACUCAAACCAGGCCGUGUUACCCCUGGCAAAUAGUUCAACUUCCCCGAGCUCCUUGAAACGGACAGUUCUUCACACAUAGCCAUGGUGGGUUUGGUGUCGUGAUGCAAGACUCCAGGAACCUACUGGAUGCCUAGCCGCACGAGUGCAGGGCACAGGAGUCCUCUGCCUGGCCCACCUGAGACCCUGAAGUUCACUGGGCAUUGAGCUGUUUCCAGUUCCUGGCUCUUAUGACUAGGGCAGCAGUGAACACGGCGGGGCAAGUGUCUCUGUGGUAGGAUGAACAGCCCUUUGGGUACCUGCCCUGGCGAGGUGUAGCUGGAUCUCAAAGCAUGAGGAACCUCCUCCAUGGAUUUUCACAGAGUUUGUACUCACACCAGCACUGGAGGAGUGUCCCCUACCCCCACAUCCUCAUCACCACGAGCUGUCGUCUGUUUUAUUGCCCUUGGCCAAUUCUGACUGGUGUGAGACUACAUUUUGAAGUAGUUUUGAUUUGGAUUUCCCUGAUGGCAAAGACGUUGAACAUUAAACAAAAAACUUUGUCAGACACCGGUGUUUAAUCUGAGAAUUUUCGGCUUAGAUCUGUAUGCUGCAUAUAUAUCCGUUUUCCUUAGGUCCUGUUUUUCGAGUUCUUUGCAUAAGCUGGAUAGUAUCAGAUGCAUAGGUGCUAAACAUCUUUCCCGUUCCACAGGCUGUCGCCGUGUCCGAAUGCUGGCGUCCUCGGCCUCAGUAGCUUUCCACUGCGCUCAGGUCCGUUUAUCAAAUGUUGACCUCAGCACCUGCUGAUGGCGGUCUGUUCAGAAAGUCUCCUCCUGGGCCAACGCGUGCAAGGCACCCCCAUCUUCUCUUUAUCAGACUCUGUAUCUGGCUUUGUGUUGACUUUUGGAUCCAUUUGGGGUCGAGUUCUGUGCAGGGUCAUAAGUAUCUGCCUUCUUCCACAUGCGGACAAGUUUGGCCAGCACCAUUUAUUGAAGAUGCUGUCUUUUUUUCCCCCAGUGUGUAUUUCUGGCUUUUUUUUUUUUUUUUUAUUUUUAAAUCAAAGAUCAGGUAUCUAUAGGUGUGUGGACUUAUGUCUGGGUCUUCAAUUCAAUUUCACUGAUCAAUGGGUGUUUUUAAUGCCAAUGCGAUGUGGUUUUUAUCACUAUAGCUCUUUGGUACAGCUUGAAAUCGGGAAUGGGGAGAUCUCCAUCCACCUACUUAUCAUGCAGGAUUGUUUUAGAAAUCUUAGAUUUUUUUUCUCCAUAUGAAACUGGGAGCUGUCCUUUCAAGUGAUGGGGAUUGCAUGGAAUCUGUAGAUUGCUUUUGGUAGGAAGGCCACGUUUGCUAUGUCAGCCCUACCCAUCCAUGAGCUUGGGAGAUGUUUCCAACUUCUGAUGUCUUCUCCAAUUUCCUUUUUCAAAGACUUGAAUUCUUUUACUUGCUUGAUACUUGAUAUGAUCUGAAGCUAUUGUGAAAGGCCUUGUUUCCCUGAUUUCUUUGUCGUUCGUAUGUAGGGGGGCAACUAAUGUUUUGUGAGUUGGUUUUGUACCAGCUACUUUGCUCGAAGUGUUUCUCGGCUGUAGGAGUUCCUUGGUAGAAUUUUUAGGGUCGCUUAUGUAUACCGUCCUACCAUCUGCAAAUAGCGAUACUUUGACGUCGUCCUUUCCAACCUGCACCCCCUUGGUCUGCUUCAGUUGUUUUAUUGCCCUGGCUAAAACCUCAAGCACUGGAUUGUACAUAUGGAGACUGUGGACAACUCUGUCUUCUUUCUGAUUUUAGUGGGAUCACUUCGAGUUUCUUUCCGUCUACGCCGAGGCUGUCUACGGGCUGCUGUAAAUCGCCUUUAUUAUGUAUAAGUGUCUUCUUUGUAUCCCUGAUCUCUCGGAGACUUUUAUAAUGUCUUAUGUUAUUAAACUUUCGAGAUGUAAUACAAUCCCAGCUGCACAAAGAAACUUAAUUCCAUUGACCUCAACUCAGGGCGCAUGUCAUCUCUUCCAGGAAGGUUCUAGAGAAACCAUACCUGUAUUAGCUUAAGGGUCUAAGGGUCUAGCCUGGUCUCUGUCAGACAGAUAGGGUAGAGGUCAU